UAUGCCCAACUAUAACAUAACAAUUAAAUAACUUAUUGUUCGCCAAAUAACUACGAGUAAAAACUUAAAAUUUAAAAGACUUGACGGUGCCUCAAACCAACCUAGAGGAGCCUGUCUAAUAACCGAUACCCCACGAUAAACCCGACCCACUCUAGCCUACAGUCUAUAUACCGCCGUCGCCAGCCUACCUUGUGAAAGAAAUAAAGUGAGCCUAAUAGCCCCACACGAAUACGACAGGUCGAGGUGUAACUUAUGAGAGGGAUAAGAUGGGCUACAUUUUCCAACACAGAAAAUACGAAUUAAUCUAUGAAAUAAGAAACUGAAGGCGGAUUUAGCAGUAUGCUGAGAACAAUAUGCCCAGCUGAAACCAACGCAAUGAGGUGCGUACACACCGCCCGUCAUCCCUGUU
rnacentral:rRNA from 1 species